AUACAGAGGGUGCGAGCGUUGUUCGGAAUUAUUGGGCGUAAAGCGCAAGUAGGCGGCAUCGCAAGUCGCGUGUGAAAGCUUCCGGCUCAACCGGAAAAGUGCGCGCGAAACUGCGGAGCUUGAGUCUCGGAGAGGGUGGCGGAAUUCCCGGUGUAGAGGUGAAAUUCGUAGAUAUCGGGAGGAACACCAGAUGCGAAGGCGGCCACCUGGAAGAGUACUGACGCUGAGAGGCGAAAGCGUGGGGAGCAAACAGGAUUAGAUACCCUGGUAGUCCACGCCGUAAACGAUGAGUGCUAGUUGUAGCGGGAGUUGACCCCCGCUGUGACGACGCUAACGCAAUAAGCACUCCGCCUGGGGAGUACGGCCGCAAGGCUGAA
rnacentral:rRNA from 1 species